rnacentral:rRNA from 1 species
UACGUAGGGUGCAAGCGUUAAUCGGAAUUACUGGGCGUAAAGCGUGCGCAGGCGGCUUUGCAAGACAGAUGUGAAAUCCCCGGGCUUAACCUGGGAACUGCAUUUGUGACUGCAUGGCUGGAGUGCGGCAGAGGGGGAUGGAAUUCCGGCGUGUAGCAGUGAAAUGCGUAGAUAUGCGGAGGAACACCGAUGGCGAAGGCAAUCCCCUGGGCCUGCACUGACGCUCAUGCACGAAAGCGUAGGGGA